rnacentral:rRNA from 1 species
GGGGAAUAUUGCACAAUGGGCGCAAGCCUGAUGCAGCGACGCCGCGUGAGGGAUGACGGCCUUCGGGUUGUAAACCUCUUUCAAUAGGGACGAAGCGUGAGUGACGGUACCUAUAGAAGAAGCACCGGCCAACUACGUGCCAGCAGCCGCGGUAAUACGUAGGGUGCGAGCGUUGUCCGGAAUUACUGGGCGUAAAGAGCUCGUAGGUGGUUUGUCGCGUUGUUCGUGAAAACUCACAGCUUAACUGUGGGCGUGCGGGCGAUACGGGCAGACUAGAGUACUGCAGGGGAGACUGGAAUUCCUGGUGUAGCGGUGGAAUGCGCAGAUAUCAGGAGGAACACCGGUGGCGAAGGCGGGUCUCUGGGCAGUAACUGACGCUGAGGAGCGAAAGCGUGGGGAGCGAAC